rnacentral:snoRNA from 1 species
AGUGUGACCAACUGGACACAAUUGAGAGCACAGGAAGAAGCCCCUUUGUAUAGUCAAAGGUGCUUGUGUCAUUGGCAUGUGAGAUCAAUAUACUGCAUGUUAGUCUUUGGUUCUGAAAGAAAUGACAUGCAAUUAUGCUGCCACUCUUGACUAUCGGGACGUGACUGGUGUAUGAACACC